rnacentral:rRNA from 1 species
CAAUAGCGUAUAUUAAAGCUGUUGCGGUUAAAAAGCUCGUAGUUGGAUUUCUGUCAAGGACAACUGGUCCGCCCUCCGGGUGAGCACAUAGUUUGGUCUUGGCAUCUUGCUGGAAUCUGUUGCUGCACUUGACUGUGUGGCGCAGUGGCCAGCACUUUCACUUUGAGGAAAUUGGAGUGUUUCAAGCAGGCACAUGCCUUUGGACACAUUAGCAUGGAAUAAUUAGAUUGGGUUUUAGCUCCAAUUUGUCGGUUUCUGGAGCUGAGGUGAGAAUUAAUGGGGAUUGUUGGGGGCAUCCGAAUUUAGCCGUCAGAGGUGAAAUUCUUGGAUUUGUUAAAGACGGACUACUGCGAAAGCAUUUGCCAAGGAUGUUUUCAUUGA